rnacentral:rRNA from 1 species
CAGCCGCCGCGGUAAUACGAAGGGGGCUAGCGUUGCUCGGAAUCACUGGGAGUAAAGGGCGCGUAGGCGGACUCUUAAGUCGGGGGUGAAAGCCCAGGGCUCAACCCUGGAAUUGCCUUCGAUACUGGGAGUCUUGAGUUCGGAAGAGGUUGGUGGAACUGCGAGUGUAGAGGUGAAAUUCGUAGAUAUUCGCAAGAACACCAGUGGCGAAGGCGGCCAACUGGUCCGAUACUGACGCUGAGGCGCGAAAGCGUGGGGAGCAAACAGGAUUAGAUACCCCUGUAGUCCCUGUCUCUUAUAC